UUUAACUGCUUGAUAUUUCUUUUAUAAGGGAAAUCCGCUAUACGUUCUCUUCCAGUUUUCUUGCAUCAAUCUUCAGCAUUGUAAAAUCUACUGGAAUAAUGUAAUAAAAGAUAUAUUUAUAUAACCAUAAGCAUCAGAGCACUAUAUUACAUCCAUGACACAUGAUUUUUAAAACCCUUCAUUUAUGACCAAAAUCCAAAUGGAAGAUAUCUGGGGAUCAGCAAGCAUUCAAACAGGAAAGUGCCAAAAAUCUGUAGUGGCAUGCAAAGGAAGAUACAUGCUGUUGUUCCAUGCUGCCGUUCCGGCUGACCAUGAAUGCCUAAGAAGCUCACUGUCCAUCUGAAACUUUCUGCUCCGUUUGAAAUUCACUGCUUUGUCGCUGUUAAUAAUUUUGACAUGAGAUUUCAAUGACCAAAAAUAUUAUGGCUUUACAGAUUUCAGUAUUGCUCAGUUUCAUCUUCCCAGGUACUCCAUCAAGUGACAUGAAUUAAUAGUAAAACUAUCACUGAAUGAUUAUAUGUGAUUUCUUUUCUGGUCAAUAAACUAAAUUGACUUGUAAACAUAUUCUGAUAUGGUUCUCCUGAAUUUAUGCACAGAACAAAAACCUGCGCAAUCCAGCCUGACUAGGUUCAUUAAUAAAGAAAAUUUUGUCUGUGUUGAUAUGGAAAGUCAAAAAGAAAGGCUUAAGUUAAUUAGCUUUGUUCUUUGGGUCAACUACCGUCUAGAUUUCUAGUUUUUUUUAUAUGCUUGUUAGUUUGUUUUGUCUUGUAUUGGUUUUAAGAAGCUCAAAAAUAUUAAAUAUCUAAACAUAAUACAUUUUUCAACUAACAGAAUUACCUGGACUGGACUAGAUUAAACUGAUUUCAUUUAGAACCUUCAUUUUCAUCAGAUGCAAAUCACUGCAUUUUUAUACCAAUUUUUUGUUUGAAUAAUCUGAAUAUUUUCUAGACUUUGUAAUGCUACAUCCUGGUCUCUGUAAUGCUUGGCUCUAGAGACAGAAAAAUAUAUCCACCUUUUGUUUGUAUGUUAUGCUGAAACUCAAUAACAAUUUUUCAGAACACUAGAAAUGUAGGGUUUUAUUGUAGCUGUCUUUUGGGGUUGCAAAUUGUUAACAUCUGCCUUUUAGUAUCAUUUUUUUACAAUAGUCUGCUCUCUAGAUAUCCUGUUAAUGACUCUAAUUUUCUAUUCAGCUGCUAUCUGUCAAGGUAGUUUAAAGGUCACUUUUUGCUAUGUAAUAGAGAACCUCAUGUAGAAAGUGGGUAGAAGCUCUUUACAGCUAACACAGCUUAUGCUUGGAUUUGCUUUGUGUUUGAAAACAGGGAGUUCAGCAGCCCCAGGCCACAUUGAGCUUUCAAUUUUAGCCUCCUUUGCUGUUUGAUCUGUGGUCAUACACUUUUUUUUUUUUUCCUAGCAACAAUUUGCUACUUCUUUUGUUAUCUCUGCUGCAUUCAUAGUACAUUUCUUAACUAAUCUGUAACUGGUAGCACUGGGAGAAAGCAGAGAUGCCAUAAAUUUCUCACACACCUCUCUCUUAGUGAACAACUUUUCUUAAGUUUUUAAAUCAAUUACAAAUGUCAUUGGAUGUAUGCAAUCUUUUCAGUGCUACUUACAAAUAUUAUGCCAGAAAGAAAAGGAACUUGAUUAUUUAUAGCUUUUUUAUAUACAUUGAAUUAAAUGUUUCAUGAGUGACUAAAUGUAUGUUUGGCCAUUUGCCUUGGAAACACCUGCCAUUCCCCCUACCCCAGGUAUUCAUUAGUAUGACUUAAAACUGAAAGAUUGUUUCUCCCUUGGCUAAAAUCACACAAAGAUAAUGAGAACAUAUUUAAACCCUUUUAGUGUAACAGCAGUCUUAUAUGAGGGAUGUGAUUCACAUAUGAGGCAUGUUUGGCUCUUGGAAUCAUGAUGCUAUCCCUUCUUUUGGAAGCUAAAAACAUCUUACCAAAUCACGGAAUUGCCGAGGUUGGGAGGGACCAUCUGACCCAAUCUGAUCAUGCUUCAGCAGACCCAGAGCAGGUUGUUCAGCGCCUUUUCCAGUCAGGUCUUUAAUAUCUCCCAGGAUGGAGACUCCACAACCUCUGGACAACCUGUCCUAAUAUUCAAUCUCUCUGACAGUAAAAAAGUUUCUUUCUUAUGUUUCAACAGAGUUUCCUCUAUUUCAAUGUAAUACAGAGUCACAAACAUUUACAGUUAUGCAUUAGGGUAAACCGUAGUCAUUAAUAAACCAGGUUCUAAAAUACAGAAGCUGAGAGCUGGAUGAUGUUUAUUCAGCAAAAUUAGUUCCUUUAGCCUUUUCAACUGUGGUUUAAACUAAUCCAUACGUCUUUGCUCUUCAGUGGAAUAGUAGAACUCAUCUGAUCCCACUGUCCAGGGACUGAGCUGUGAGAAGACUGCAUUUUGUAGAUGAAGGACAUGAUAUAUAAGCAAGAACAGUAUUUUGUGGGGUGUUUUGUUUGUUUGGCACAGCCACCUCCCUAAGGGUAUUUAUAGCUCUGAGUUCUACCUGGAAGAGCUGAGGCCUUACAGUUUGCCUUAUCCUCAGCACUUCAUGUUGUCAUCUUUGUCAAUCUUGCUAAUUUAGGUAAUGAAGUUUACCAGUUGGUAAAAACUUCCUUCAGUAUGCAAACUUUACAGUAAAUGCAGCUGCAUCAGUGAAGAACACAGGAGGCUUGCAAAACUUUGUGCAGGGUUCCACAAACCACCAGUCUAACAGAUGCCAGAGCCAGUACGAAGGCACAAACUCUUCGAGAAUUGAAUGACUGGACAAUCGGAGGGAGAUCUGUAACUUUUGAGUGAAUUCCUAAG